UGGCAUAUAAUGUUUGGUCUUUAAUAAUUUUUUAAAUUAGAUAAAGUUAAAAAAUGUACUCAACUAUGAAUCAUUUUAAGUCAACUAUCUAACUUUUCAAAAUUUUGAAUUUUCUAAUUCAAUCUUUCAAUUUGAUUAUUUUGAAUCGGUCAGUGAUACAUUGACUUCAAAAUUUAACUUAAUUACUCACUUUAAUGAAUUUGUAGUUUCGAAAAUUAUAUGAAGUAUACUAACUAAAUUUGGAAAGAUCGACAACGCACUUAUAUUUUUGAAGUCAAAGUGUCGUUGAUCAACUCGAAUCAGACAAAUUGAAAGACUGAGUAAUAAAAUAAAAAUUUAUGAAAGAUUGGAUAGCCAACACAAAAUACUCUAUAAUUUAGAUAAAUUUGAUACAUUUUAUCUUAGAUAAAUUAUUCAUAGAUAAAAUAUUUCAUCCUGUCAAAUCAUCCAUAAAUAUCGAUCGAGAUUUUUUUAAGGAGCAAAAUUCAAACCACUUAUAGUUAUCAUAAUAAAAAAAAUCUCAAACUGACUAAUUUAUUGCCGAAUAAAUUAUUCCGAUAUUCAAAUAUAUAUGUCUCAAGGUGAGUAAAUUAAAUAUUAAGGUACCGUUUGAUUGGAGGAUAAGUAAAAAGUGGAUAUUUCGGAAAUAGGUAUAAAUUGAGGUAUAAGCGAGAAUUAGAUCAAUUUUGCGUUUAGAUGAAAAUUGGGUUAUUCCUAGAAAUAAGAAAAAUAGCUUUUGGUUAGGUAAGAUGGAAUAAGAAUUAAAGUGGAUAGUUAUAAAUAAAAAAUAAUAAUAUUAUUCUUUUCUUUAUAUUAGAAUUUAAAUUUUUAUAUUUUAUAUUUAUAUUUUAAAAUU
rnacentral:lncRNA from 1 species